ACCCCCAUGGCGCAAUGGACAACGCGUUCGACUUCUAAUCGAAAGAUUCUGGGUUCAAGUCCCAGUGGGGGUG
rnacentral:tRNA from 1 species